CUGAUGAUAUUAGUUGAGGCAGAUUGAUCAUUGGCCUACAGCUCUGCUAUGAUGAUGAUUAUCAGAGUCAGUACUUUAACGCUACAACUAUAAUGAGCACCAAUUGUAUGCCCAUGAUCGGCUUCCUUACCAUGCUUUAUUAUCGUGUCUCAAGUUUACACAAGAAUUGCAUACUCUGCCUUUACUUUCUGUGAGCCUGUGCGAAUUGAGAAUGAUCCGGAUCCUUGCUAUCAUGAACCGUCGCGGUUCAUUGUCUCAUAUAAGGUCUCGGAGUUUAACGAGACUGAUUUCGAAGAAUACGAUCCAACUGCUUUCGGUGGUGGCUAUGAUCCUGCUGCAACUUACGGAAAACCUUUUCCUCCGUCGGACAAAAUUUGUUACCCCAGUUCAACGCCGGAUCCGAAUGCCUUAUCAUUAAAUGGCGUCUCCUAUGGAUCGAUUACAGCACCUCAAUGAACCGGCUCCGAAACCUUGAAGUGAAAGGAAACCGCUUAGGCUUCCUGCUAUUGAAGCAGCGCCGCUGUCCCUUGAACAUAGCAAUGGCAAAGGAAAUUCCUGAGAGAAGUCUCUAGUCUUGCAUAAAGGUGAAGAAAGUGAUGAAAACGAGGGUGAUCAUCACGAUUCUUAGCCUGGCUAUGAUACUGGAUAUUGGAAUGGAUCAAGUGGAGAACUUGGUUAUGAGUAUGGCCAGGAAGUGCCACAAAUUCCAUCAGGAUAUGGCUUAGAAGCAAUGGACCAGCUUUGUGAAAGUUAUUUGGUUACUGGCCUUGUCUUUCUAGGCAUGCUAGGAAUGACAAUGAUCGUCAACAAGCUACAGAUUGUGGAAGUUAUGGGAACCAAGGAAGGGGACUGCUGAUUAUCUAUUUGGAAGCUCAAAUCCUUAUGCUGAAAGAAGGGAUGCAGGCAGCAGCUAUGGGAAUGCUAUAUAUGUCCAUGGGAGGCAUUAUCAAGAGGAACCUCUCUGUUAACAGGUCAAGUAUGUUGAGGAUUCAUGGUCAGCUUGAGCAUGUUGCACGGUCAUUUGUGCAUCUUCUUGAAUAAUUCAUCCAUUCCAGCCAAAAGGGCGGGGUUUUAGGUCGUUUAACAAAAAUGGGUCUUCAAUAAUGGACCUUAAUAAUCUGCAAAGGCUUCAUCU